AAUUGUUUUCCUUUUCAAUAAAAUUCUAUUGUACCUGAAUUACUUGCAUUCGUUCUAGGGUCGAAUAAUGAUAUUAGAUUUUACGUGAAACUCUGAGCUUGGAUAACGCUUCGUUAGUUUUACAAAUGUAAUUUGUUCGCAAGAAACUUAAUUUCGUUCGAAUACCAACAAUUUUUUCUGACGCAACAUGUGGCUUGUGUGUGCAGAUGUACGUACACAUGUGUCGAGCGUGACUCGAGCACAUUUGCGUAAAAACUUAAGAAGGCCAUGGAAGAUAACCGCUAUGGAACGUUCAGGAAGUCAAAUAUGUCGCGUCACGUUUCACUAGAAAAACAAUGUCAUCGUGCGACUAUUUUUCCACCAAUGCGCGGUGUAGGAGGUUUUGGCGAAUACUUGGACGAUGCCCGGUCAAGAUUAUUGUGCUUGUGUGGGCAUUUAUUACAGAAAUAUUUAUUUGUUACAGGUCGCGAUGUGACGAAAAGAAGUAUCAACUCUAUUCGACCAUCUAUGGAUUGAACCAAAUCUCUUCUAGUCAUUUUGAUUAUCUACAAUCUGCAACGAUUAUCUACGCUGAUUGAGUGGCCUCGAAACUUGAUGAAAUAGUAUGAAGAUUAAUACUCUCGUUGCAUCGAUUUACGUAAACCAGUCGUGUUGAAUGAAAGAAAGGAACGAUAAGUUGACUUGUUUGACGAUUAUUCUUAUUGUUGAUUUUGUUCUGUGUGGUUACAUGCAGCUGUGGCAAAUUUAUCUUAUUCAUAUAAUUCGUGACGCGCGUAACUAUGACGUCCAAGUGUGACUAAUCGAAAAAAUGAAGUCACGGCUCAAAAAUUGAAAGUAAGAGCGUGACGAGCAUAACUGUUUUCUACGCG